CCUACGGGGGGCAGCAGUCGAGAAUCAUUCACAAUGGGGGAAACCCUGAUGGUGCGACGCCGCGUGGGGGAAUGAAGGUCUUCGGAUUGUAAACCCCUGUCAUGUGGGAGCAAAUUAAAAAGAUAGUACCACAAGAGGAAGAGACGGCUAACUCUGGGCCAGCAGCCGCGGUAAUACAGAGGUCUCAAGCGUUGUUCGGAAUCACUGGGCGUAAAGGGUGCGUAGGCUGUUUCGUAAGUCGUGUGUGAAAGGCGCGGGCUCAACCCGAGGACGGCACAUGAUACUGCGAGACUAGAGUAAUGGAGGGGGAGCCGGAAUUCGCGGUGUAGCAGUGAAAUGCGUAGAUAUCGAGAGGAACACUCGUGGCGAAGGCGGGUUCCUGGACAUUGACUGACGCUGAGGCACGAAGGCCAGGGGAGCGAAAGGGAUUAGAUACCCGGGUAGUC
rnacentral:rRNA from 1 species